CCCACCCAGCCCUGCAGGGAAUCCUUGUCGGGUAAGUAGGGUUGAAAAGCUCCGCCCCCGACCAACCUAACAUAGAAGUCAAAGAAACUACUCCAAAAUCGCCAAAGUAUGCAAUCCUAACUGGAGCACUUGACUCCAAUUCUGGACGCCCUUCCCUGGCUCUCUGUACAUUUUAGAAUUUAUGUUUCUGUGCAGACUGUCCUGGUACGGACCCUGAUGCAGCAAUUUUCUCCGGGCAGUGUGAAAGAGGUCAACCUCGUGACCUACCGGUUGUCUC